rnacentral:rRNA from 1 species
AUACGGAGGGUGCAAGCGUUACUCGGAAUCACUGGGCGUAAAGCGCGCGCAGGCGGCUAUUUAAGUUGGAUGUGAAAGCCUACGGCUCAACCGUAGAACUGCAUCCAAAACUAUUUAGCUAGAGUGUGGGAGAGGAAGAUGUAAUUAGUUGUGUAGGGGUAAAAUCCGGAGAGAUAACUAGGAAUACCAAAAGCGAAGGCAAUCUUCUGGAACACUACUGACGCUGAGGCGCGAAAGCGUGGGGAGCAAACAGGAUUAGAAACCCUAGUAGUCC